rnacentral:rRNA from 1 species
UACGAAGGGGGCUAGCGUUGCUCGGAAUCACUGGGCGUAAAGGGCGCGUAGGCGGAUCUUUAAGUCAGGGGUGAAAGCCUGAGGCUCAACCUCAGAAUUGCCUUUGAUACUGAAGAUCUUGAGACCGGAAGAGGUAAGUGGAACUGCGAGUGUAGAGGUGAAAUUCGUAGAUAUUCGGAAGAACACCAGUGGCGAAGGCGGCUCACUGGACUGGUAUUGACGCUGAGGUGCGAAAGCGUGGGGAGCAAACAGG